GGCUGGGGCAGCUCACUGCCCCUUUGAUGAGAACAAGCGCCAGCCGGGGCCUGGGGCAAUCAUGCAGGAAGAACUGACUCCAAAAUACAAUGGUUCAACUUUAGAAAGAGAUUUCUCCAUCACUGAAAUAUAAAACUAAUUCAAAGUAAGAGAUGAAUUACUUUUGGGAUCCUGAUGAUUCAUUGCCAAGAACAUCACCUCAAAUUUCUGAGAAUCUACUAUCACAUCCUUAAGCUAUAUAAGAACAGAGAAUAAAUGCAAAACAAAUAAGCCAUUGCAAAGGAGUAAAUGUGCCUGAUAGCUCUGGAGAAAGUUUUGUAAGGAGCAAAGGAGAAAGAGAGAGAAAGA